GACGAACGCUGGCGGCGUGCUUAACACAUGCAAGUCGAACGAAGUGGCGAACGGGUGAGUAACGCGUAAUCAACCUGCCCUUCGAAGGGUGCCAACAGUUGGAAACGACUGCUCAUACCGCAUACGGAAGGAGGGGAUUGCGUCUGAAUAGCUGGUUGGGGGGGUAACGGCCCACCAAGGCGAUGAUCAGUAGCCGGGCUGGGAGGAUGAACGGCCACAUUGGGACUGAGACACGGCCCAGACUCCUACGGGAGGCAGCAGUGGGGAAGCUUCCGCAAUGGACGAAAGUCGGACGGAGCAACGCCGCGUGAGUGAUGACGGCCUUCGGGUUGUAAAGCUCUGUUAAUCGGGACGCGGUACCGGAAUAGAAAGCCACGGCUAACUACGUGCCAGCAGCCGCGGUAAUUC
rnacentral:rRNA from 1 species